rnacentral:rRNA from 1 species
UACAGAGGUCCCGAGCGUUGUUCGGAUUUAUUGGGCGUAAAGAGCGUGUAGGCGGCUAGAUAGGUCCGUUGUGAAAACUCGAGGCUCAACCUCGAGACGUCGAUGGAAACCAUCUGGCUAGAGUCCGGAAGAGGAGAGUGGAAUUCCCAGUGUAGAGGUGAAAUUCGUAGAUAUUGGGAAGAACACCGGUGGCGAAGGCGGCUCUCUGGACCGUAACUGACGCUGAGGCGCGAAAGCGUGGGGAGCGAACAGG